CAUCAAGUCAUAGCUUUGCGGGCAAUAGAUCAGAGGAUACUGCCAGUUUUCCUAAUGGAUUAUUGUUAUCGGGCAGGUUCUUCCUGAAGAUUAUUUUAAGUGAAGCAGCCAUAGCUUGGAUUUCAUUGUGUGACCUUAAAACUUAGUGUCAGGCUCUUCAAAUAGCUACUAGAUCUGGCAAGAUUAAAAAGGUUAAAAUCCUCCUUAACUUAAAACAUUAAACAGCUUCUAAAGACUUUCUCACGAUAUAUUGAGUUGUAUGAGAAGAUGGAAAAGAGCCAUCAAAAACCAGAUUUAAAGCUACAUAUCUUUCAUAUGAUGUCAGCAAAUACAUCAAUGGUUGGCCCCUUUCUGGGGAGAAAUUCUAUUCCAAUUCUCUAAUUCAGCCUUCAUGGGCAGUUACCAGUCUGUCUUUAAUUAAGAUGACUUUUUUCAAUUCACUGUCUACCUGAAAAACCAGUAAGACAAGUCAGUGUUUAAUUCUGCUGCUUCUAUAAG
rnacentral:lncRNA from 1 species